ACGGGAGGCAGCAGUGAGGAAUAUUGGUCAAUGGAGGCAACUCUGAACCAGCCAUCUCGCGUGAAGGAAUACGGCCCUAUGGGUCUUAAACUUCUUUUAUAGGGGGAUAAAGUGAGGCAUGUAUGCCUUUUUGUAGGUACCCUAUGAAUAAGCAUCGGCUAACUCCGUGCCAGCAGCCGCGGUAAUACGGAGGAUGCGAGCGUUAUCCGGAUUUAUUGGGUUUAAAGGGUGCGCAGGCGGCACGUUAAGUCAGCGGUGAAAUGCAGGGGCUCAACCCCGGCACUGCCGUUGAAACUGGCGAGCUCGAGUACGGAUGAAGUCGGCGGAAUGUGAUGUGUAGCGGUGAAAUGCUUAGAUAUGUCGCAGAACACCGAUUGCGAAGGCAGCUGACUAAUCCGCAACUGACGCUCAGGCACGAAAGCGUGGGGAUCGAACAGGAUUAGAUACCCUGGUA
rnacentral:rRNA from 1 species